GACAACUUUCAACGGCGGAUCUCUUGGCUCGUGCAUCGAUGAAGAACGCACCCAGCUGCGAUAAGUAGUGUGAAUUGCAAAAUUCAGUGAAUCAUCGAAUCUUUGAACGCAAAUGGGGCUCUCGGGUCCUCUCGGGAGCACGUCUGUCUGAGUGUCGG
rnacentral:rRNA from 1 species